rnacentral:tRNA from 1 species
UAGCUCAGUUGGUAGAGCACCGGACUUUUAAUCCGUUGGUCCUGGGUUCGAAUCCCAGUCAGCCCACCA